GGCUCAAUUGACAGAGAAUGGCACUUGCAAUGCCAGGAUCGUGGGUUGGAUUCCUACUGGAGCCA
rnacentral:tRNA from 1 species